rnacentral:tRNA from 1 species
GGCGGAGUUACCGCUGCGGGAGCGACGACGGACAUCAAAUACCAGGACCAUCGCCACGGUGAACGCGCCUGCCGCGACGGCCUAACCGCCUCACGCGCGGAAGGUCGCUGGUUCGAUACCAGCCGGGACCACCA